rnacentral:rRNA from 1 species
CCCCCCUUCUAACACGGACCAAGGAGUCUAACAUGUGCGCGAGUCAUUGGGACCAUGAUGCCUAAAGGCGAAAUGAAAGUGAAGGUCGGUCUUAGCGCCGACCGAGGGAGGAUGGGCCUCGUCACGAUGUGGCUCCGCACUCCCGGGGCGUCUCGUUCUCAUCGCGAGAAGAGGCGCACCCAGAGCGUACACGUUGGGACCCGAAAGAUGGUGAACUAUGCCUGGUCAGGACGAAGUCAGGGGAAACCCUGAUGGAGGUCCGUAGCGAUUCUGACGUGCAAAUCGAUCGUCGGAACUGGGUAUAGGGGCGAAAGACUAAUCGAACCAUCUAG